AAAAUUUGCUAAAAAUUCAAUAUUCAUUUUGUAUAAUAUAAUGUCCCCGAAUAGUUCUCUUUACUAUAAUAUAAAAUAUAAUAUCCUAAGCUCUCUCAAUUUAAUCAUUUCUAUUAUACUUAUGUUAGUGUUAUAAAAGUUAUCAAUCUAACCAAAUAGAUAACUCAAUUUCAAAACAAAAGGGCUGAAAGCAUUGAAAAUAAAUCGAAUGCAGACAGAUUUAUUUAUUAGAUUUGAUUAUCUCCAUUCGAAUGCCAUUAAUGCCACACAAAUUACGGCACAUUACUCAUACGCCCUGUCGAACCUAGAUACAACUACUUAUAGGUAACAAUAGUAUGUGUGUAUAUAUGUAUGUGAAUGUACUACUAAAUGCGGUUUCAGUGUAAACACAUAAGUAAUUGCGAUUGUGUGUGAUAGCUGUUUACACAAAUAUUUGUGUGUUUUUAGCUAAAUAUAAUACAUUAGUGAGCAAUUAGUAUAGCAUAUUACGUCUAAAUUUAUUGUUUAAAUUAAAUAUUUACUUGUGCCUAGCUGGUUAUCUACACUUCAGCGAAGCUAAACAAUUCGAAUUGAGUGUAUUAUUGGAUGGGGUUGAAUGAUUAUUCAUAAUCCAACGUAUAUUUAUUUUUAUGGAAAGGUAAAAUAUGGAUUUGACAGCAGUGAGAUAAAAUAAACUAUGAAAAAUAAUCAAUUAAAUAUUAAAACAGGUAAGGAAAUGCAUUUUAUCGAGAGCCUGUUUGCAAAAUUUUUAUUAUCCAUAUAGGGAGGCUAAUGAAUUAACUUUUUAACGGAGAUUAAUUUUAUUUCGAUAUAUUUGUUGAUGCUUGUCCAACUUCAAGCUGUGGGACAAUUCCUGGAACAAAAUCAGUCCAGUUGUCUAUGAGAUAUCAAAUUUUACUUAAAGCCGUGCAAUUUAAAGUCAAUAACAUAAUUUCCCCACGAAUUAUAAGCCGAGAACCAGUCGAAAAAGGGACAAGUUUAACAGUAGUGUGGUUGAUGGAAUUUUCAAAUUUGUUAGUUCGAAUAUUUGUUCUAGUCAAUUAGCUUAGUUUGACUCGAAAUUUAAGUAGAAAUUACUACGUUAUACUUCAGUUAUAUAAAAUAUAAAAUUUUUAUUUUACUAACAUUCAAUCUUCCAUCCGAAAUCAGCAUCACUCCCGGAGUGUUUUCAUACAAAACACUAGAAAUCUACAUCGAGUUCUCAAGAUCGUCUUAUAGAUUGGAACAAAGGGAUAGACGAAUAAAGUGGAACAGAUAGUGUGCAAAAGACAUAGAAUAAUCAAUUAGUUUUUAGACGUAAUGUGUCGCUGGGGCAAUCGUAUUUCUUUCAUCUCACAUUUAAUGAAUUUAAUGAAUUUUAACAGCCAAGCUUUAAACUCUACAUCUCUUGCAAGUUAAGAAUUAGCAAAAAAACUCUUUAUUUCCAGCUACCUUUCACAAGUUUAAAGAAACCUUCGGUAGACGUUAAAUGUUGAACUGAAAAGUUCGGGACUCACUUAGAGAUUUCUAUAUAUUUUUUAUUCAAAUGAAAAAUCAGCGACACUAACGAAUCCAUCUCUAUUAGGAUAAGAACACAGCCACACAAAUGAUCAGCGACCCCAAAACCCAAAAAAGUAACGAGUUUCAAGCGAUUCCGAUGAAUAUUGAAAAACCCACACCGGAUUCGUAAUCCGUGACCCCGAAAACCCCUGAGUAGCGAGGUUUAAGAGAAUUCGAUGAAUUUAAAAAAUCGCUGUCCGCCAUAUCGGUUUUCUGGGGUCAAAAUCUUGAUGUGAUGGGGUUAAAUGGACCUCGGAUUCGGAUCCAGCGACCCCAACAUCCAAACAAUUUGUUUUUGUGUGACUGUGGAAUUAGCUCAACUGAUUAUUUUUGAUUUCACUAUUUUGGAAGCUUAUUUUAAGACUGAUAACAUUGAUCCCUCUUCCACUGACAAAUACUGUUUCCAACUGAGUUGACGGAGUGUCAGCUCAGUCUCGAAAAAUUUGGAUUUUUAAAUUCCACGCAUUUCAAGAGUAGUCAGUAGUCUAUUUGAUAUCUCUAAAGAGUAAGAUGGUUUCUAAAUAGACGAAGACAUAACAUAACAUUGAAGGUUUUGGUUGCGGGAAGAAUGAUGAAUGAAGAGAAAGAAGCGAACAUCAGUUCAAUGUGUCGUAUGUGUGUACCAACGAAAGCCGAAUGAUAAGCUAAAAUAGGUUAAGUCAGGGUCGAACGCAGGGGGGGGGUUUUAACACCCCAAAACCCCAAAAGUAAUUGAAUUUUUAAAUAAUAGAAUCUAAUUCUACAUAGUCAUUUGAAAAAUUGUAAUUUGUUGUUUUCAAAGCAAACUUUCUGCCGACGAUGUAAGAAUAUGUAAAAUAAAUGAAUACAUUAGUCACUAACAGCGUUGCCGUUUUGAUACAAUUGUAUCUUCUAAAUUUUGUGAUUUGAUACUUUUUUGUUCACCAACGGCCUAUUUUGACACUUUUCUGCUGAUAGAAUUUAAUUUUUUGAAACUAUGAAAAUGCUAAACUAAAAACAAACCUAUUGUAUCUGGAUAGUAUUAAAAAGUUGUGGGAAUGUAGGCCAAUUAAAAAUCCCAGAAAAAUAUAAACUGGACUUUGCUUUAUAACUCUGUGGCUGCUGAACUGGAUUUUUUAGAUUUAAGGGGAAUUGUGAGUCGAAAAUGGACUUCUUUUGAAAAUUAGAUCUGAACUGAAAAGUCACGCUAUUAUUUUUUUUAGAGUUUAUUGUUAAUCAUAAUACAGGAAAAAUUUGAAAAAUUUUUAUUACGACUUUCAGUUUUCGUUCCAUGAGCAAACUGUUGUGAAAUAAAUUUAAAUUAAAAAAAUUAUGCUAUUUGCAAAAAAAUACUUGAGUGUCUUAACUUAACCGCUGAUGUAGAAGAUCCCGAUGAUUUCGUUGCUGAAUUUAGAAUGUGGAAAAGGAACUGGUUAAAUCAAACAAAGAGAUCCAAAACUUUUUUAGACGCGUUGAAUUGUUGCGAUGCAAAAAUUUUCAAAACAGUGCAUCGUUUUUUAAAGAUUGGAGCAAUAAUCCCUAUAUCUGUCGCUUCAAGUGAACGCUCGUUUUCCUCACUUCGCAGGCUUAAAACAUAUUUAAGAAAUAAAACUGGAGAAGCACGCCUGAACGGAAUGGCUCUCUUGAAUAUCCAUAGUGAUAUAGACGUGACGGAGGAAGAGAUCCCAAGACCUUUUCCAUUACUUUAAAUUCACCAAUUCAUCCUUCUGUUUUUUCCGUUUCGAUUAUGUGUAUAAUAGCAUGUCGUUAGGUGGAUAGACUGCGUGGCGUUAAUGGCGGAGGACCAACGGCGGAGACAAGCGAGUGUCACAGAGUACAAAGCGAAACUGUUAAAU